UUUUUUUAUUUUGGUGGGCUUCUUUGGCCUCUCUUUUUUUUAUUUGGGCUUCUUUGGCCUCUUUUAUUUUUCAUAAAGUCCGGAGUCUCUUCCCAACUUAUGGGGGAAUCAUAGUCUCCAUCAUCCUUUCCUUACUGGGACAAUGCUCUAAUAAUGAUGAUCAUCACACUUUUAUUUUUUCUUACAACUCAACAAUUACAACUCGAUACUAGAACAAAAUAUGACUCUAUAUGAAUGCCUCUGGUGGUGUACCGGGAUAUGCAAUGAAUCAAGAGUGACAUGUAUGAAAGAAUUAUGAACGGUGGCUUUGCCACAAAUACAAUAUCAACUACAUGUUCAUGCAAAAAGCAAUAUGACAAAAGUAAUGUGCGUCAUAUGAACGGAACGGUGGAAAGUUGCAUGGCAAUAUAUCUCGGAAUGGCUAUGGAAAUGCCAUGAUAGGUAGGUAUGGUGGCUGUUUUGAGGAAGGUAUAUGGUGAGUGUAUGAUACCGGCGAAAAGUGUGUUGUAUUAGAGAGGCUAGCAAUGGUGGAAGGGUGAGAGUGCGUAUAAUCCAUUGACUCAACAUUAAUCAAAAGAACCAUGCACUUGUUGCAAAAAUUUAGAAGUCAUCAAAAACCAAAGCACUAAAUGCAUACUCCUAGGGGGAUAGAUUGGUUGGAAAAGACCAUCGCUCGUCCCCGACUGCCACUCAUAAGGAAGACAAUCAAUAAAUAAAAUUGUGCUCUGACUUCAUCACAAAGCGGUUCACCAUACGUGCAUGCUACGAGAAUCACAAACUUCAACACAAGCAUUCUUUAAAUUCAUAAUCACCCCAACUAGCAUUGCUUUGAUAUUAUCACCUCCAUAUCUCAAAACAAUUAUCUAGCAUCAAACUUAUCUUAGUAUUCAACGCACUCAAAAGAAAGUUUCACAUAUCUUGAAUACCAAGUAUAUUAUCUUUAAGCAAAUUACCAUGCUAUUAACAACUCUCAAAAUAAUCUAAGUGAAGCAUGAGAGAUCAAUAGUUUCUUUAAAACAAAUCCACCACCGUGCUCUAAAAGAUCUAAGUGAAGUACUAGAGCAAAAAUUAUCACGCUCAAAAGAUAUAAGUGAAGCACUAUGAGCAAAACUGUCAAGCUCAAAAGAUAUAAGUGAAGCACAUAGAGUAUUCUAGCAAAUUCUAAAUCACGUAUGGCUCUAUCAAAAGGUGUGUACAGCAAGGAUGAUUGUGGUAAACUAACAAGCAAAGACGCAAAUAAUACAAGAUGCUCCAAGCAAAACACAUAACAUGUGAUGAAUAAAAAUAUAGCUCCAAGUAAAUUACCAAUGGAAGUAGACACAAGAGGGGAUGCCUUCUGGGGCAUCUCCAAGCUUUGACUUUUUGGUGUCCUUGGAUUAUCUUGGGGGUGCCAUGGGUAUCCCCAAGCUUAGGCUCUUUCCACUCUUUGUUCCAUGAUCCAUCAAAAGAAUUCACCCAAAACUUGAAAACUUCACAACACAAAACUCAAUAGAAAUCUCGUGAGCUCCGUUAGUGAAAGAAAACAAAAGACUACUUUAAGGUAUUGUAAUGAACUCAUUCUUUAUUUAUAUUGGUAUUAAACCUACUAUAUUCCAACUUCCUUAUAGUUUAUAAACUAAUUUAUUAGCCAUAGAUGCAUUGAAAUAAGCAAACAACACAUGAAAAACAGAAUCUGUCAAAAACAGAACAGUCUGUAGCAAUCUGUAACUAACGCAAACUUCUGGAACUCUAAAAAUUCUACCAAAAUAGGACGUACUGCCCAAUUUGUUUAUUGAUCAGAAGCAAAAAGAAUCAAUGCAAAAGCACGUUUCUGUGAUUUAUUGAAUUUUUCUCGUGAGCUUAAAGUUUCUGUUUUUCAGCAGAAUCAAAUCAACUAUCAUCAUAUCUUAUCAUAUAGGUUCUACUUGGCACAAACACUAAUUAAAACAUAAAACCACAUCUAAACAGAAAGUAGAUGGAUUAUUUAUUCCUAAACAGAAGCAAAAACAAAAACACAAAAUAAAAUUGGGUUGCCUCCCAACAAGCGCUAUCGUUUAACGCCCUUAGCUAGGCAUAAAAGCGAAGAUAGAUCUAACGAGUGCCAUCUUUGGUAGGCGAUCCAUAAGUGGCUCUCAUGAUAGAUUUAUAUGGUAAUUUAAUUUCUUUCUAGGGAAGUGUUCCAUACCCUUUCUCAAGGGAAAUUGGAAUCUAAUAUUCCCUUCCUUCAUAUCAAUAAUCGCACCAAUCGUUUUAAGGAAAGGUCUACCAAGAAUAAUAGGACAUGAAGGAUUGCAAUCUAUAUCAAGAACGAUAAAAUCUACGGGCACAUAAUUCCUAUUUGCAACAAUAAGAACAUCAUUAAUUCUUCCCAUAGGCUUUUUAAUAGUGGAAUCCGCAAGAUGCAAGUUUAGAGAACAAUCUUCAAAGUCACGGAAAUCUAGCAAAUCACACAAAGUUUUGGGAAUAGUGGAGACACUAGCACCCAAAUCACACAAGGCAUGAAACUCAUAAUCUUUAAUUUUAACUUUAAUAGUAGGUUCCCACUCAUCAUAGAGUUUUCUAGGGAUAGAAACUUUCAGCUCAAGUUUUUCUUCAUACGAUUGCAUCAAGGCAUCAACAAUGUGUUCGGUAAAGGCCUUAUUUUGACUAUAAGCAUGAGGGGAAUCUAGCACGGAUUGCAACAAGGAAAUACAACCAAUCAAAGAGCAAUUUUCAUAAUUAAAUUCCUUGAGAUCCAAAAUAGUGGGUUUAGCAACAUCAAGAUUUUUAUUUCUUUCAAUCCCACUUUCAUCAAUUUCAUCAUCAAGAUCUAGAUCCUCCGAAUUCUUAGAACGCCUUCUAGGUAAAGGAAGAUCAUAUUCAGUUUCAUCAAGAUUCAUAUUGCAAAACAAAGAUUUAAUAGGAGACACAUCAAUAACUUUUAGAUCUUCAUCUUGAUUUUCAUAGGAAUCGGAAGAACACGUUUUAAUAAAGGCAUCUUUGGAAGCACGCAUCCUAGCGGUUCUUUCCUUGCACUCAUCAAUGGAAAUUAUCAUAGCUUUGAGAGACUCAUUGAUAUCAUGCUUAGGAGGAAUAGAUCUAAGCUUUAAAGAAUCAAUUUCAAGAGAAAUUCUAUCAACGUUCCUAGCCAAAUCAUCAACUUUAAGCAAUUUCUCUUUGAGCAAAGCAUUAAAAUUCUUUUGUGAAUUCAUAAACUCUUUAACACUACUCUCAAAUUCAGAGGGCAUCUUAUUAAAAUUUCCAUAAGAGUUGUUGUAGGAAUUUCCAUAACUAUUAGAAGGAUUACUAGGAUAAGGCCUAGGAUUAAAAUUCCCUCUAUACGUGUUAUUUCCAAAACUAUUCCUACCAACAAAAUUCACAUCCAUAGAUUCAUUAUUAUUCUCAAUCAAAGUAGAUAAAGGCAUAUCAUUGGGAUCAAGAGAAGUAUUUUUAGUAGCAAACAUCAUCAUAAGUUCAUCCAACUUUUCACUCAAAACAUUGAUUUCUUCUAUAGCAUGCACUUUUUUACUAGAAGAUCUUUCGGUGUGCCAUUGAGAAUAAUUAGCCAUAAUAUUGUCAAGCAAUUUUGUAGCAUCUCCUAACGUAAUUUCCAUAAACGUGCCUCCCGCGGCCGAAUGUAACAGAUUUCUAGAAGCAAAAUUUAAUCCGGCAUAAAAAUUUUGUAUGAUCAUCCAUAAAUUCAAACCAUGAGUAGGGCAAUUGCGAAGCAUCAAUUUCAUUCUUUCCCAAGAUUGGGCAACAUGCUCAUGAUCAAGUUGUUUAAAAUUCAUAAUAUCAUUCCUAACAGUGAUGAUCUUAGCGGGAGAAAAAUACUUAGAGAUAAAAGCAUCUUUGCACUUGUUCCAAGAAUCAAUACUAUUUUUAGGCAAAGACGAAAACCAAAAUUUAGCACGAUCUGUAAGUGAAAACGGAAAUAACUUCAAUUUGACAAUAUUGUUAUCCGUAUCUUUCUUCUUUUGCAUAUCACACAAAUCAACAAAAUUGUUUAGAUGAGUAGUGGCAUCUUCACUAGGAAGGCCGGCAAAUUGAUCUUUCAUAACAAGAUUCAGCAAAGCGGUAUUGAUUUCACAAGACUCGUCAUUAUUAAGAGGAGCAAUCGGAGUACUAAGGAAAUCAUUAUUAUUGGUAUUCGAGAAAUCACACAAUUUGGUAUUAUCUUGCGCCAUGGCAACAAGUAAUCCAACACACAAGCAACAAAAAGGCAAACGAGAAAAAGGCAAAAGAGAAAGAGAGGAGGAGAUUGGGAAAGAGAGGGCGAAUAAAAUGGCAAGGGUGAAGUGGGCGAGAGGAAAACGAGAGGCAAAUAAUGUAAUGCGAGAGAUAGGGAUUGUGAUGGGUACUUGGUAUGGUUGACUUUUGCGCAAACUCCCCGGCAACGGCGCCAGAAAUUCUUCUUGCUACCUCUUGAGCACUGCGUUGGAUUUCCCCGAAGAGGAAAGGAUGAUGCAGUAAAGUAGUGCAAGUAUUUCCCUCAGUUUUUAAGAACCAAGGUAUCAAUCCAGUAGGAGAUCACGCAUGAGUCCCUCGUACCUACACAAAACGAUAGCUAUUCGCAACCAACACGAUUAGUGGUUGUCAAUCCCUUCACGGUCACUUACGAGGGUGAGAUCCGAUAGAUAUGAUAAAUAAUAUUUUUGGUAUUUUUGAUAUAGAGAUGCAAAGUGAAAAGUAAAAGGCAAAGUAAAAACAAAGCAAGUAAUAAAGUAAUGGAGAUUGAUAUGAUGAGAAUAGACCCCGGGGCCAUAGGUUUCACUAGUGGCUUCUCUCAAGAGCAUAAGUAUUCUACGGUCGGUGAACAAAUUAUUGUUGAGCAAUUGAUAGAAAAGCGAAUAAUUAUGAGGUUAUCUAGGUAUGAUCAUGUAUAUAGGCAUCACGUCCAAGACAAGUAGAUCGAAACGAUUAUGCAUCUACUACUAUUACUCCACUCAUCGACCGCUAUCCAGCAUGCAUCUAGAGUAUUAAGUUAAAAACAGAGUAACACCUUAAGCAAGAUGACAUGAUGUAGAGGGAUAAAUUCAUGCAAUAUGAUAAAAAAACAUCUUGUUAUCCUCGAUGGCAACAAUACAAUAUGUGCCUUGCAACCCUUUCUGUCACUGGGUAAGGACACCGCAAGAUUGAACCCAAAGCUAAACACUUCUCCCAUUGCAAGAACUACCAAUCUAGUUGGCCAAACCAAACGGAUAAUUCGAAGAGACUUGCAAAGAUAACUCAAUCAUACAUAAAAGAAUUCAGAGAAGAAUCAAAUAUUGUUCAUAGAUAAGCUGGAUCAUAAACCCACAAUUCAUCGGUCUCAACAAACACACCGCAAAAAGAAGAUUACAUCGAAUAGAUCUCCACAAGAGAGGGGGAGAACAUUGUAUUGAGAUCCAAAAAGAGAGAAGAAGCCAUCUAGCUACUAGCUAUGGACCCGAAGGUCUGAAGUAAACUACUCACACUUCAUCGGAGAGGCUAUGGUGUUGAUGUAGAAGCCCUCCGUGGUAGAUGCCCUCUCCGGCGGAGCUCCGGAACAGGUCCCAAGAUGGGAUCUCGUGGAUACAGAAAGUUGCGGCGGUGGAAUUAGGUUUUUGGCUCCGUAUUUGAUCUGACGGGGGUACGUAGGUAUAUAUAGGAGGAAGGAGUACGUCGGUGGAGCAACAAGGGGGCCACGAGGCAGGGGGCGCGCCCAGGGGGGCGCCCCCCACCCUCGUGACCUCCACGGCUGUUCCUUGGAUGUCGUCAUACGAGGAGAUGACCUGGUGGAAUGGGUGUCACCAGCAAUGGGGGCACCUUUGUUCAACCGAGCAGAAGCACGGGUUGGUGUUGGUGCCUGUUUCUUCGUAACUGCUCGUCCACCAGCUGUCGCCUCACUGCACGUAUAAGAUGGAGGGAAAAAAGGUGGCAAUUGUCAGACAGCAAACUCGUUGCCGCGCUUAGUAAAAUCAAGUGCAAAAAGGGAUCAUUCUGUUCCAAAAAUAUAGAUAAAGCAAAAAACUAAAAUUAAAGUCGAACCUCCUCCUGGCAGCUACGGGAUCGGUCCUAGACCUCUUGCCAGGAGAACCCUGCCCAACAUCCUCUAGAGCCCUCCCCCUCUUUGAUAGCAACACCCCCUCGCCUCUCGCAGCCGUAUGUUCUUUGACUUUCUCUGGUGGGGGCACAUCUGGUGCAUCCUUCCCCUUGUUACCACCUGCACGAACUUCAGCAUGUUCAUCAUCAUCGGUGUCCUAUUGCACGUUCUCCAUGUCAUCAUCGUCAUCCUUGCUGAAACCAUCGUCUCCCUCUAGUUCAUCUUGUGUGUCAGAAAGCUCUUGGGAAUUGUUGUAGUCAUACCGGCCACGGCAACCAGUUGGCCGAUGUGUCUGUUCUGGGACAAAUGAAGUGAACUAACUCGCAAUUGCAUCGCUGUCAGAGCCACUAAGAGAUGUCCACCCCUCAACCAACUUCCCGAGCAAGCCGGUCAUUCCGGAUGCAAACUGCCAAAUUAGAUGCUCAACAGGUGCCCUCGCCUAUGCACGAAACAAGAAGGAGCAAUAACAACCCAUAUUACAGUCACUUGCGCGACAUCAAAAAUAAUCCAAGGCAACCAUAGAUGUAGAUCUUUUGAUUACCUUAGUAGGGCAAGACGGAGCUGAGUGCACGUCCAUCCACUUUCCAAAGUUUUGAGGCUCCCCAAACACGCUGUAGUCUAUAGCAUGCUUGGCCAUCAGCUGGAAAAAACAAAAAAAUAGCUAGGAUGUAAGAGAGAGAAUGAUGAACACUGACUAGCAGUUCAUGUGUUGCAAAAAUGGAACAAAAAAAAGAAGACGCGAAUGUAAGUUUCAGCACGAACGACAGAGUUGCCAUGUGGAGUGAGACAUGGAUACCAUGCGUAGACAACCAUGGCUAACAAAGGUAGUCAUCUCUUGUGAACCACAGACGGUUGCCGCAUGCCAAAUUUGUAAGCAUGCCGUGUAGAGAAAGAAACCAGAACUAACUUGCAGUUUUCCAUAUUUGGUAUCAGUUACCCUAUCUACAGCAAGCACAACCUUGACAGCGUUGAUAGUCCAUGUAGAAACAGCAAACUUGUGCGUAGGCGAUGGGCCUCCUGUCCUAGUGAAAUCCAUGGUGGACAGAUCAAGACAGUCGACGUACAUGAGCUGAUGUACAACAAUUUUAAAAAGAAAGAAAUAUCAGUUGCCGUCAUGGUACUUUGCGGAAAAAAUAGGAUAAUCUAUGUUCCCAUGAUAAUCAAGUUGAAGUGCAUGAAAAAGAGAAAAAGAAAAAGUUGCCAUCUGUAUGCGCUAGUUGUCAUCGUAGUGUGAUAGCUGUUGCCAUAUUGUCAUGAUGGCAGUUGCCAUCAUAGUAUGAUGACAGUUGCCAUCAUAAAGUGAUGGCAGUUGCCAUAUUGUCAUUAUGCCAGUUGCCAUAUUGUCAUUAUGGCAGUUGCCAUCUUGUUAUGAUUAGGUUGCCAUGCAAGAAUAAAAGGGUGUUAAAAAAGAGUGUUCAUAGAAAAGACUGGUAAAAAAAUAUCAUUAAAUGCAGUCAACAACCCUUUUGGUACAUCUUGCUUGAGAAUGCAUCGUGCAGGAAGUCGGCUGUAAACUUACACCAAUUCAUGUUCUUCACAUCUUUCAGUUUUGCCUGCACCGCACAAAAUUUCAGAACAAUGAGUUGCCGCAUCAGAAAUCGAAUGGAAAAAAACAUCAAAAAACACUGGCAGUGACUAGCUUUACACAUGACAUCAGAGCCAAAAGAUUGAAGGAAAAUAAAGUAGUAAAGAUGGAUCAUUCACCAGGAUGGGGAAGCAUUUGUUGCUUGGGCGAAGAGAAGUGGUCAGUGCGAAAACAGCUGAGAUGAGGUACAUGAGAAGCUUCAUCUUAAAAACAUCUCCAUGGGUUGUCAUGGCCUGCAGCGAAUCUGCCAGUACAGACGUGUCCGGCAUGGAUUCCAACCCAAGAAACAAACGGGGGAAUAGCGCUUCCUCGAUCUCAUUAUUGACCUCGUACGGGACUUUGAUCUGUUCACGAGGCACACCCAAAGUGCAGAACACGGAUUCCUCAUUCAAUGGUAGUCUUCCACGUCCGAAAUCACAAAUUCACUGGAGGCGGGGUCGUAAAUCUCACCAAGCCAGUCGCAUACAGGGUUGACAAGAUUCGUGCACCGGACAUUCAUCAGAGCCUGCAUACCCAUCCCAGCGGUAGCUCCCUUCUGAUCGUUGGUAAAUCUGUCAGUCAAUGUAGUCAGUCGUUCUUGGGAGGCUCUGUUGCGAAUACGUUUCUUCUUCUGCAAAAAACAGACAAAAAGUGAUCAGUUGUUGCCAUGUUUUGCACUGUCAUGAAAUUUUACUUCAUGACAGACAACUGCAAAGCUCGAGGUGGCAACCAAUAACAUAUGCACGAGGAGAAGGGGUGUGUGGACAGUUACCUCAUCGCCCUCUUUCUUCGUCCAGCUGCCCGAUUCUGUUGUGGUGGAUCCAUGAAAUCAUCAUCAUCAUUUUGAUGAUGAACGCGAGCCAUUCUGCUGAGGUAGGAACAGAUCAAAUUGUCACGGUGGAAAAUGAAAACGGAAUGCAGGAAGUAAGCAGUUGCCACAUAACAGAAAAUGUCAACUAGUGAAUGCAAAAUAUCACAUGAACACGCACCCCCCCCCCUAUGAUUGUCGAAAACAUAAAUGUGGUAAUUAAGCACAUUGGUUACAUUUUAAAAAAGUGUACUGAUCAUAAAUGCACUUGAAAACAAAAUGUUAAAGUUGCCAUGUUAGCACAAGAUAGUAUUUAUUGAAAGUCACAAAAUCCUCCACUGCACAAAACCUAAGAUGUGGCAGCUCACACCCUGUCCUAAAUACACCAAUGAAAUUGCCAUGUGUUCAGCGGCAAAAAUGUGCUAGGUUGAAAUUGCCAUGUUAAAAUGCAACACAUAAUACAGAAAAGCGAUGAAAAACAUCUAAUGAAGAACCAGAAAAUUGCCACAAUGUGUUCAGAUAUCGCAAGUCAUCAUGGCAAAACACGAAAAUUGCGUCUGCCGUACAAUGAAUUUGCCACAUUAUACUGAUUAUAACAUGGCAACAGACAUGCUGUGGUCAGACAAAAUACUUGCCACAUGGAAAGCAUAUGUAUGGCAUCUGACACAAUUGAUUUGCAAAUUAGUUGCCAUGUUAUGCAGCCAAUUUACCACAUUAUCCUGUCUACAAUAUGGCAACAGACACGGUGUGUUCACAUUCUAUUUACCACAAGAAUAUACUAUCCAUGUGGCAACAAACACAGCUGAUGUGCAGAUUAGUUGCCAUCCAGUGCAAUUGGUUGCUGAAACUGCAGUGACUACCGAUUAACUACACUUUACCAUUCAUACAGUAUGGCAACUAUCACAAUCAUUCAGAAAAAAUAGUUGCCACAAUGAGAAGCAUGUUUGUGGAUACUAUCACAGUAAUUCAGGAAAUGAGUUGCCACAUGGAAAAGCAUGUUCGUGUCAACUAUCACAGUCAUUCAAUAAAUUAGUUGCCGCAUGGGAAAACAUGUUUGUGGCAACUAUCACAGUCAUUCAAUAAAUUAGUUGCUGCAUGGAAAAGCAUGUUUGUGGCAACUAUCACAGUCAUUCAGGAAGUUAGUUGCUAUACAGUCAUAGUUACUCAAGCUACCACGUUUGCCUUCAUACUGCAGUUUCAAAAACAACUAAACUAGAUCUAGGGUUCAAUGGCAACUAUAUGACUUGAAAUUCAACCUCAAAAUUCUCCCCGAACUGACCACAAAUACCAAUUCGAAGCAAUGCGCAACUAACAGACCGAAAAACAACGACCCAAUCCUAAGACACAACCAGUGUGUGUCUCCGGACAGGCAAAACCACACCGGCAAGACAGCCGCCGCGGCGGCGACGAAACUGCCCAGUGCCACCGAAAACGGCAAGCACAGGACUCCGCCGCCGGCGGGAACACCGACGCAUCGUCAAAUCGCCUGAAUCUCUACGAAUCUCGAGCGAAGCAUUGAACAGGGAGGGAAGGGGAAAAUGCAGGCAAGGAUUGUGAGAGUAGGAGCGAGCAUUACCUUCAAUCUGCAGGCGCUCCGGCGAAGCCGCUCCGGUCCGACGAGCACCACCGACGGGCGCGAACACCGUCGACUCUUCCGCCUCCGCCGUCGCCUUCUCCCCUCGUCUUCUCCCCCAAUGGUUUGAAAUGCGAAGUGGGUUGUGUGAGUAACUGCGGGCAUGAGUAAAUGGAACUGUGGGGGGGAGGGGGGCGAAGUGCGCGACGUGUUUGACGUCAACCACGGUCGGCGCAUGGCGUGCGGGCGCAUAGCAGUUCCACCGCACGCCCCCGAGUGGCAACCGCUGACCGCGGGAGGGCAACCAACGUGCGGACGAACUGUGUUACAGACCACACACGCGUCUUGCCCUACGUGACACAGAAAAUCGAUCAGAUUAUGCUAAGAUUCGUGCAUAAAGUACUGGACGGUGAUCGAUGCGUGUGGUCGAGAUGAUGAACGCCCACACGUGUGAGCGUUAACGUUUCCGGAGAAAAAAAAGCAGCACAAGAAGUCUCUACCCUCUCUGGUGAGCGCCAUCAUCCAUCCACAUCCACUCUUCGAUUCUCCGCUUCUCGCCAACUCCCUACGGCUCAACCGCCAUGGCCUCCACCGUGGCCUUCACCCCCGCCGUCGCCGUCGGCGCCAAUGUGCAGCACUCUCGGAGGACAUCCUCGCUGCGGCCCGUCCCGAGAGCCAGGCCCGUGGCCGCGAGGGGCAGCGCCGAGCGGGACGGCGCCGCGGCGGCCGUCCAGGCCCGGUCGGGGCGGACCAUCGAGGAGUGCGAGGCGGACGCCGUCGCCGGGAAAUUCCCCGCCGCGCCGCCGCCGACCAGGCCGCAGCCGCCCAGCGGCACCCCGGAGAUCAGGCCCCUCGUACGUGACACCCCUUCUCAUCCCGGCAUUUGCCCAAGUUCCAAUUGCUGUGCUGAAUUGUGGCCAUGUGGGUGUUUGUUUGAUGUGUGUGUGCAGGACAUGGCGAAGCGCCCUCGCCGGAACCGGAGGUCGCCGGCGCUCCGGGCAGCGUUCCAGGAGACUAGCAUUACCCCCGCGAACCUCGUCCUCCCUCUGUUCAUCCACGAAGGUUGGUGAUUGGGAUACUGAAACAUGGUUGGUGCAAGCACGUAACUGAGAUUGGUGGGUACAGUUUGGUUGAUUGGCAUUUUGGUACUGAUGUGCAGGUGAAGAAGACACUCCCAUUGGAGCUAUGCCUGGGUGCUUCAGGCUUGGAUGGAGGCAUGGGCUUCUGGAAGAGGUACCGAGCUUACCGCAGUUUACAUGAUUCGGUGCCAUUGGAGCUAUGCCUGAAUUAUCAUACAUUAGGUGAUUUUCUGUAGUAAGGACAUUGCUGUCCAUAUAACUUCAAUAUCACCAUACUAGAAACAGCGCAUGUAUAUCCAUAUUACGAGUUUACGACGAUAGUUAAUAAUGCGCUGGAAAAUUAGCAACUAUUGUCAUAUCCUCUUGUUCUAGUCUUAGUUAGCCACAUCUAUCUUCAGGCAAAUUUGUGACUGAAGAGAACAGUUUUGUUGAGCUGCUAUUUUUAACAGGUUUACAAGUCACGCGAUGUUGGUGUUAACAGCUUUGUGCUAUUUCCAAAGGUUCCUGAUGGAUUAAAGGUGUUGCCAGAAUCAUAAGCUUUUUUUUCCGCCCAAUUGAGUUGCAUUGGCCAUAUGGAAUAACAUAGGCCUUCUUUGUCAAUCAGACGCAAACGGGAGAUGAGGCAUACAAUGAUAAUGGUUUAGUGCCCCGAACAAUCCGUCUGCUCAAGGAUAAGUACCCUGACAUUGUGAGUCAUGUGUUUCGUUUGAUAAUCAUUGCUGCAUUACAUCACUUAUGCUAAAUGCUAACAUGUUUGCUUUAGGUUAUCUACACUGAUGUUGCUUUGGAUCCUUAUUCUUCUGAUGGUCAUGAUGGCAUUGUGAGGGAAGAUGGUUAGAAUUUAUUCCUUACACAUUUGCUUCCAGAGAGAUAAUGUUUGUAGUUUACUUCCAUCCAUUGCUUCGAUGUGAUAUCCUGAGAAUUUAAUUUGGCAUGUGCCAAAAAUCUAGUAUAUUAAGGUAACGGUUAUGGCUUAAUACUGCUAUUGCUGUAGUGUUACAGAUUAAACCAAACUUCAUUAUCAAGUUCUUUCCAGACUAACAAAUAUACCUGAUUUAGAAAAACAGUGUUGUAUAGGCUUUGCAGGCAUAUGAGUCCCUUCGAUCAUGCUUGAAUUGUGCUAUCACAGAGUCCCUGUUCAUUAUGUGGGUCACAACUGAUUUCUACUUUUGGAUUGUGUCGGACGAUGUUAUUGGAGACUGCCGUUUUACGAUUUAAUCGUAGUUUGUGGGACUGAUAUUGAUUUAUAUGUUCUAAAUCAAGCAGCUUUGAUGGAGUUCUGUGGCGUAUAUAUGAGUUCCAUCAAAAUUCAACUGGCCAUGAUGCUGUUUGUAUACAAAUGAAAGGAACAGAACAUCAAUCUGUUGCUUCUGACAUUGUAGAUUUAAAGAGAAAGAAGCUGUUAGGUUUCCCCUGUUUGUGUAUGAGAUGAGGACGUUAAAUUCCACAAGGAAUAUGUUUGCAUGCUGAGUCACUUAAAUGUGCAUUCCAUUUUAGUAUUUCGUACCAGCAAAUGUGCAUUUGCAGAAAUUGUGUUUAUUAAUAGCCAUGGUUCCACCUAAUUUUGGGCCUUUUAUGUUUUAUUCCAUUGUAGGAGUCAUCAUGAACGAUGAAACAGUGCAUCAGCUGUGCAAGCAGGCAGUUUCCCAGGUUCCUUUUCUUGGAUCCACCUUGUAGUCAUGGCUUAGUAUAUCUUUAAAUACAUAUUUUAUAGGAAAUGUUGCUGUUGCUAAAUAGGCUCGAGCUGGUGCUGAUGUUGUCAGUCCUAGUGACAUGAUGGAUGGUCGUGUUGGAGCAAUUCGGGCUGCACUAGAUGCAGAGGGUUUCAAUGAUGUCUCCAUCAUGUCCUACACUGCAAAGUACACAUCUAUCCUGAAAUAGAACCUAUUGUCAUCUUAUUAUUUGAUAAUUGCCUUCUCUCCUGCAUUGUGAAAUGCAAGUGGGAUGGCAUGUAUGAUGUAUGUGAUAUGUUAUUGCAGGUAUGCUAGUUCGUUUUAUGGUCCAUUCCGUGAAGCUUUGGAUUCAAAUCCACGAUUUGGAGACAAGAAGACGUAUGUAUCUAGCAGCAAAACUUGUCGUUUCAUCCAGUGUACAAUUUAAAAUCUUCGUAUCUAAGUGCACUUGUGCGCCUCUCUCGAUUCUUAAGUUAUCAGAUGAACCCAGCAAAUUACAGAGAAGCCCUUAUAGAAACUGCAGCAGAUGAGGCAGAAGGGGCAGAUAUUCUUCUGGUAAUUCUGUUACUGUGUACACAGAGCGCCAGAUUAUCAAGGUCUUUCUUUGCUUCAUUGCCUGUGUCAUGUACUAAAAGCUAUGUUAUCAAUUGUCAGGUGAAACCCGGAUUACCAUACCUGGAUAUUAUCCGACUCCUACGGGAUAAUUCAGCCUUGCCGAUUGCUGCAUACCAGGUCAAUUUGCCAGCUCUCAAAUGAUUUCAAAAGGAUUAUUGCUUGCAUGUUCCCUUAACUCUGUUCGUACUAGACCGGGUGUAUUGUGGCGAUUAUUUUGAGUACUACAUCUAGAAAUCUGCGUCAAUUCCUCAUUGGCACCUUUUUGAGCACAACUGAUGCAUUCCAAAAUAACUCUGAUUCUAACAUCUUUUCCCUUGGCCAUGAACCUCCUUUCCUUUUUGGAUUGACUUAACUUAAUUCUUCUACAAGCUUUUUUACCUGCAACUGUAUCUUCGAUAUUUCACCUGAAAGCAGAAACUAUUUUGCUAGCGUCAAGUACAAUGUUGUCGAUGAAGCCAUUUUCAGGGUGACAUGUACUGCAUAGUGCCACCUAGAUUCGUCUUGUUAUUCUCUCUUUACCCAGAAGCAGAUUUAGGUUGAUGUGUAGGCCAAAUGAUCUUUAGCAAUAAGCAAAGCAGGCAUUUUCGAGAUGGUUUUCUCAGAAAUAGCUUCUGGCCUUCCCUUGAACCCUGUCCCUGUCUAUAACACCACCCUGAAACUGAUCUCCAAUAUGGAUGCUCCGGAGAAUCCCCUUGAAUCUGUUUUGCACGUCCUCCAAUGCGUAUCGCCUGCUUGAUGUGAUCAUAUGAGAUGUACUAGUAAUCUGUCAAACAGAUCAAUGCCACUUAUUUCGACGCGUUGUUUGUAACCGCAUCAGGCUUGCUGUGUUCAGGUGUCGGGUGAGUACUCGAUGAUCAAGGCCGGCGGCGUGCUGAAGAUGGUGGACGAGGAGAAGGUGAUGAUGGAGUCGCUGCUGUGCCUCCGGCGCGCGGGCGCCGACAUCAUUCUCACCUACUUUGCCCGCCAGGCCGCCAACGUCCUCUGCGGGGCCAACCGGCCGUAGCUGAUCACGGAAGUCAAUUUCUUGUACUAGUACCAUGGCCAUGGCUUCUCCAGGUACGUGGAGCGGCACGGCCAUGCUCUUCGGUAGAUAGAGGUUUGUUACUGGCUUCAGUUUGGUGUAAUUAACGAAGCUUUGUCCUGAGUAAUUAUUUUUAACUGAUUUUUGGACAGUUACUAAACUAAUUAACUGAUUUUUUUAGGUUUUUUUUAGAAGCAAUAAGAAUUGAGAGGCUUGCGAUAAGGAGACGCUCGUUCAUGAUCACUGACAGGUGGGCCCGCCAGGCCUGCUUGCGUGGGCUGGGCCGCCGGGCUGCACGCACGGGGUCAGCUUGACGUUCCGGUGACAUCACCGGAUUUUUUGAAUUGCACGCGACCUGGGACACACCGUCCCUCUGCUCUGCUCCCACCGAGUGCUCCGCUUCCCUAAUUUCUCCGGGGUUCAAAUGGUUCUUCACACACACGCAGAACCCCUUCACCUGCUGCACACACAAUAACAAGCACCAGCGCAUCCAGGGCCGGACAGCAUCUGCACACUCCUGCGCCACCACCAUCACCGCUCCUCUAUUAUUGCGUCAUGACAUUUCACACCGUCUCCUUUUUAGAACCAUUUCACACUGCCUGUCCGUAGGAGUACCACUGCACUAUAUUUCCCUCAGCAGAAAAGAAAAGAUAAAUCUUAGGUCUCCUCUUCGUUUCUUCGUUUCUUGUUUGACUGUCCGUAGGAGUACCACGUGUUUGGUUUACCGAGCACACAUGUCGAUGCCGCACACUCGUUUUCUUGCCACCAUUUGCUUCAAAAGAUCAAUGUGCGGGUGCCCCGUACACUUGUUCGGAACUUCAGUGGUCGUCGAUAGGGGAUCACCAGAUCAGAUCAUGAGAGCAAGGGCAGGUCAACUGUAGUUGUUGAGGCAGACCCGGUUGACCCAAGGCCCCAAACCAAUACUGGCUCAACAUGCUGGUCAGUGGUCACUGCCUGCCUUCUUUACUACGAGUAGCAUUUUUAGCAAAUGGCACGUACAUGACCAAAUGUGUAAUCUGCUCCGGUCGACAUUUGUUUCUUUACACCCAUCUGAGUACUACACAUUUUCUUUCCGAAUCUUAUCUGAAAACACAUGAUUACUGCCUGUUUACAAGAGGUCCGUACUACUACUAAAAUUUCAGGAACAGUGUUAUUUUAUCUUGGAUCUGCGGCCGCCCCACGAUGAUGCCCAGCAGCCAGCAGGCCAGUACCCACCGGCCACUUCCUCGCCAUUCACAGUGAGCGCUCGCUCGCUCAGUCCCCUUGUCUGUCUCCAUGGAUGGAUCGGCACCGACAGCGACACGACUUGCCCCUGCCCUGGCUGCUUUGCCCUUGGCGCGUUGCCAAUGGCCAAUGGCCAUUGCCGUGCACCCAUGCGUGAUGGCCGGGCAGGUGCAGGGGCCCCCCAUGAUCGAAAUGCCCAUGCAUGCAUGUACGUCGCCCUCGUCCUCUUCCCCCUCCCCCACGACAAGCACAACAACAAGGUGGUGGAUGCGCGCAGCUGGCGUGAGCCGGGAAAAUGGCAUGGCCUUUUCAUGUGCAGCAGUUCUGGGGGAGGGAGGGACCAACCCGUGUGCGCCCCGCACCUGCGCCUGCUCCCCCAAAACGCCGCAUUUUCAUCUUGAUCUCAUUCCUCUUUCGCGCCGGGAAAAUGUUGAUCUGAAAGAGGAAGAAGAAAGAGCAAUUGAUGCCCAAGCCUUUUUGGCAGCUGCGUUUUGCGCCUCCCCUACCACUACCAGUAUGUAACCCGUGUUCAGAGCUGGGAGGAGUAGAUUUACUUUUCUUUGUUGAGAAACUCAACCAAUUGCACAUUUGAUCAUGUUCGUGUAUGCAUCAGGGACAUCGAGAUGUUUUACUGCAGUAGAAGGUGCAACUCAUUAUCUUGUGUAGGCUCAAAGAUUACACAUCCAAAUUAAUUUAAUAAAUCCGGGCAUCCAGGGCAGAAAGAAUACAUAGGAGGGCCUCUUUUUAACUCCAUCCAAUCUCUGUAGAUCGUGGAUCAAAUACUGGCAACAAAUUAAGAAGAAAGAAGAAGAGAUGAAAAAAAAAAUCCAAGGUGAAAAAAAAAAUACUACGGGUAAUGGCAGAGCGCGAGAUGAGGUAUUAUACUGGCGGCGGUGGGCGGCUGCUCCGGCGAUGGAUCAGGAGGAAUUA
rnacentral:lncRNA from 1 species